AUUGAACGCUAGCGGCAUGCCUUACACAUGCAAGUCGAACGGCAGCACGGGGGCAACCCUGGUGGCGAGUGGCGAACGGGUGAGUAAUGCAUCGGAACGUGCCCAACGAUGGGGGAUAACUGCGCGAAAGCGUUGCUAAUACCGCAUACGACCUACGGGUGAAAGCAGGGGACCGCAAGGCCUUGCGUCGAUGGAGCGGCCGAUGCCGGAUUAGCUAGUUGGUGAGGUAAAGGCUCACCAAGGCGACGAUCCGUAGCUGGUCUGAGAGGACGACCCAGCCACACUGGGACUGAGACACGGCCCAGACUCCUACGGGAGGCAGCAGUGGGGAAUCUUGGACAAUGGGCGAAAGCCUGAUCCAGCAAUGCCGCGUGUGGGAAGAAGGCCUUCGGGUUGUAAACCACUUUUGGCGGGAAAGAAAUGGUCUGUGCUAAUACCACGGAUUGAUGACGGUACCCACAGAAUAAGCACCGGCUAACUACGUG
rnacentral:rRNA from 1 species